rnacentral:rRNA from 1 species
UACUGGGCACUAACUGACGCUGAGGCUCGAAAGCAUGGGUAGCAAACAGGAUUAGAUACCCUGGUAGUCCAUGCCGUAAACGAUGAUUACUAGGUGUGGGGGAGUGUACCCCUCCCGUGCCGCAGUUAACACAAUAAGUAAUACCACCUCGGGAGUACGACCGCAAGGUUGAAACUCAAAGGAAUUAGACGGGGCCGGCACAAGCAGUGGAGUAUGUGGUUUAAUUCGAAGCAACGCGAAGAACCUUACCAGGUCUUGACAUGUCGCGAAUC